AAAAACUGCUCAGGCCCCGAGCCAAACACUCGGCAUGCUCAAAUUAUCGUCACUGACCCUUGCAGAGUUGGACGAGUACCGUAACUGGUAAAAGAGCUGUUGGUGGCUGAGGAAGGCUGGAGGAGAAAGGUUUGCAGCAGUAUCUUUUGUUGACAAUACUACACUUUUGCCAGGAGAGUGAGAGUCAAGGCUUGGAGGUUUUCUGUUUUCUCUGCUGCUGUUGUCAUACGGUGUGACCUUGGACAAACCCUAUUUCUGAGUUUCCCGCUUCUUUCUUAGGAAGAGACUUAACAUCUGUGCUGCGCUUAGAUGGCUUUAAAUGGCAGCUGCUGCCACAGUGACCAGCAUGAAUCUCCUGCCUCGCUACUUGACUCCAGAGGAAUUUCCUCCUCACACUGAUGUUUAGGGAAGCUGCACCUGGGCACCCACCAGUUUGCCUUUCUCUUUCCUGGGGAAACUAGCAUGUAUGACCACAUUCUGCGGUGACUUACAACCUGGGCAAAUUCCAAGUAUUUAACCUUUGUUCUUUCUUGACACUCUGCAAAUUAACUUAAAAUAACAGAGUAAAAUAGACAAUAUGGAAUGUUUGCUGGAAGUAAUUGACAAAAUUGAAUUUCACAACUUUAAAAUCUUGUAAAUACUGCUUACCCUUACUGGUUAGUUGAGUUUUGCUGUUGUUAGCUUGUUUUGUAAGCUGAGUUCAAAAACAAAAUAUUCAUAGAUAUUUAUUCAGUAUAGAAAAUAGUUAGGAUUUUAAAGAACAAAUAAAAAUAGACAGAUCCAUCAAGGUUUAGUUUAUUUUUUUGACUUAGAGCAAAAUUAAUUGAUAUUAAUUUUUGGAGUUUUCAGAGUAUAUGGAUCUCAUAACUAGGCUCAGUUUUUUUCUGUUAUAAAAAUAGCCAUCUGAAAGUUGAUAAUACAUUACUCUGAAUUCACAGCAGAAGACAUAAUUAGGCCUGUAUAUCUUUGCCAACAGGAAUGAAAAAAAUGUCACCCUAUUCCUUAUCUGGAUCAGGUCCUCAUUGUAUUGUCUUCCCUCAGACCCUCAUGAAAUACAUGAAAUAUGUAUCGGGGGUAUUGUCCCCCACCGCUGAACAGCCAGGAGAGCACAACAAGCAGACUCUGGAAAUGAUAAUCAGGAGUUCUAGUCCUCUCCCACCGUGGGUGCAGCCCUGCAAAAUUAAUUGGGGCUGACCUCCUGCUGAACUGCUGUGGUAUUAGAGAAAGAACUCCCACAUCUGCCUUAAAUGUCUCGGUAAGUCCUAGCGAUACAAAAAUGC
ensembl:lncRNA